UCGGGCAGGCGCGGAACGCCCGGUGAGACGGGCCCCCGUCCAAGCUUCCGC
rfam:Novosphingobium sp. Leaf2 contig_11, whole genome shotgun sequence.